GAACGCACCUUGCGCCCUUUGGCUAUUCCGAAGGGCAUGCCUGUUUGAGUAUCAUGAACACCUCAACUCUCAUGGUUUGCCAUGAUGAGCUUGGACUUUGGGGGUCUUGCUGGCCUAUGGGUCGGCUCCUCUCAAAUGGAUCAGCUUGCCAGUGUUUGGUGGCAUCACAGGUGUGAUAACUAUCUACGCUUGUGAUUUUCCAUCAGGUAACCUUCAGUGAUGGAGGUUCGCUGGGGCUCAUAAAUGUCUCUCCUCAGUGAGGACAGCUUUUUGAACGUUUGAUCUCAAAUCAGGUAGGACUACCCGCUGAACUUAAG
rnacentral:misc_RNA from 1 species